rnacentral:rRNA from 1 species
GAUGAACGCUGGCGGCGUGCCUAAUACAUGCAAGUCGAGCGAACGGACGAGAAGCUUGCUUCUCUGAUGUUAGCGGCGGACGGGUGAGUAACAGGUGGAUAACCUACCUAUAAGACUGGGAUAACUUCGGGAAACCGUAGCUAAUACCGGAUAAUAUUUUGAACCGCAUGGUUCAAAAGUGAAAGACGGUCUUGCUGUCACUUAUAGAUGGAUCCGCGCUGCAUUAGCUAGUUGGUAAGGUAACGGCUUACCAAGGCAACGAUGCAUAGCCGACCUGAGAGGGUGAUCGGCCACACUGGAACUGAGACACGGUCCAGACUCCUACGGGAGGCAGCAGUAGGGAAUCUUCCGCAAUGGGCGAAAGCCUGACGGAGCAACGCCGCGUGAGUGAUGAAGGUCUUCGGAUCGUAAAACUCUGUUAUUAGGGAAGAACAUAUGUGUAAGUAACUGUGCACAUCUUGACGGUACCUAAUCAGAAAGCCACGGCUAACUACGUG